UUAUUUCUGGGCAGCAGAAAAAUUGUAUUUUUGCAUUUCCCUUCAGAAAUACAGCAAAUUCAGGAAAUAACAAAUUUCAGAACUAGUAUUCAGAGGAGGCUGGCCACUAUAAAUUGUCGUGUGCCUGAUAUCUUCAUAGAGCUGCCAUGUGUAAAGUGGUAAUUUUCAAAUCAAGUUAAAAUGUCCCCAGAAGUGGCCUUGAAUCGAAUUUCUCCAAUGCUCUCCCCAUUCAUAUCCAGCGUGGUCCGGAAUGGAAAAGUGGGACUGGAUGCUACAAACUGUUUGAGGAUAACUGACUUGAAAUCUGGCUGCACAUCAUUGACUCCCGGGCCCAAUUGUGACCGAUUUAAACUGCACAUACCUUAUGCUGGAGAGACAUUAAAAUGGGAUAUCAUUUUCAAUGCUCAAUACCCAGAGCUGCCCCCCGAUUUUAUCUUUGGAGAGGAUGCUGAAUUCCUGCCAGACCCCUCAGCUCUGCAGAACCUUGCCUCCUGGAACCCUUCAAAUCCUGAAUGCCUCUUACUUGUGGUGAAGGAGCUAGUGCAACAGUAUCACCAGUUUCAAUGCAGCCGCCUCCGAGAGAGCUCCCGCCUCAUGUUUGAAUACCAGACAUUACUGGAAGAACCGCAGUAUGGAGAGAACAUGGAAAUUUAUGCUGGGAAAAAGAACAACUGGACUGGCGAAUUUUCAGCGCGUUUCCUUUUGAAGUUGCCAGUGGAUUUCAGCAACAUUCCCACAUACCUUCUCAAGGAUGUAAAUGAAGACCCUGGAGAAGACGUGGCCCUCCUUUCUGUCAGUUUUGAGGACACUGAAGCCACCCAGGUGUACCCCAAGCUGUAUUUGUCACCCCGGAUUGAGCAUGCACUGGGAGGCUCUUCAGCUCUUCACAUCCCUGCUUUCCCAGGAGGAGGAUGUCUCAUCGAUUACGUUCCUCAAGUAUGCCACCUGCUCACCAACAAGGUGCAGUAUGUGAUUCAAGGAUAUCACAAAAGAAGAGAGUAUAUUGCUGCCUUCCUCAGUCACUUUGGCACAGGUGUCGUGGAAUAUGAUGCAGAAGGCUUUACAAAACUCACUCUGCUGCUGAUGUGGAAAGAUUUUUGUUUUCUUGUACACAUUGACCUGCCCCUGUUUUUCCCUCGAGACCAGCCAACUCUCACAUUUCAGUCCGUCUAUCACUUUACCAACAGUGGACAGCUUUACUCCCAGGCCCAGAAAAAUUAUCCAUACAGCCCAAGAUGGGAUGGAAAUGAAAUGGCCAAAAGAGCAAAACAAGUGCCAGUAGCUUUCCAGUUCCUGUUUCCCUUUAUUUCUAGCCCUCCAUCAGAGACACUUAAGACUGUGCCUGAGUCUAACUGAUGAACGAACAUGAGCAACAUCCACUCAGGAGGAUAUAUCUGAUGGUUACGUCUGGAAGCCGAGCUUGAUAUGGCUUAUUUCAAAACCUUUGUCCCUCAGUUCCAGGAGGCAGCAUUUGCCAAUGGAAAGCUCUAGGAAACACCAGUGUUGAGAAGUGGCCAGCCAGACUGCUCUGUCCACAUGCGUGUCAGCACACACGGCUGCUUCCUGGCAGCCUCCUGGAAUGUCUUCACAGCGGCGUUCUGCUCACACAGCAGCUUUGCACGCCCCGGGCAGCCUGGACUCUGCUGGAACCCAAGCUGAAGCUGGCUGCUGGUAACCUGAGUCCUAAGCCCCUCACUUCUGGUUGCUCCUUUCUUUCCUUCAUUACAUUUCGUAUUUGGAAGAAAUAAACUCACAAAUUAUGAUGCAGUAAUUUUCCGGAGAAAGUAAGACAUCAUGAAUGCACACACCCUUCUGCCAAAGCCCUUGUCUCUGAGACUUCUUUUAAGUUUUAAGAUUAAACACUCCUUGGCUCCCCACACCCUGCAAAAACCAAAAAGCUU